rnacentral:tRNA from 1 species
GGGCGUAUGGCUCAGCCAGGUAGAGCGGAGGACUCUUAAUCCUUAAGUCGGGGGUUCGAAUCCCCCUACGCCUACCA